GACAGAGGUGCCAAGCGUUAGGCGGAAUCACUGGGCUUAAAGCGCGUGUAGGCGGGCCGCCACGUCGGCUGCUGAAAUCCCCCGGCUCAACCGGGGAAGUGGCACCGAUACGAGCGGCCUCGAGGGGGGUAGGGGGGUCUGGAACUUCCGGUGGAGCGGUGAAAUGCGUUGAGAUCGGAAGGAACGCCCGUGGCGAAAGCGAGGCCCUGGACCCUUACUGACGCUGAGACGCGAAAGCCAGGGGAGCGAACGGG
rnacentral:rRNA from 1 species